UGCAAGUCGAGCGCACCUUCGGGUGAGCGGCGGACGGGUUAGUAACGCGUGGGAACAUACCCUUUUCUACGGAAUAGCCUCGGGAAACUGAAAGUAAUCCGGUAUAAGCCCUUCGGGGGAAAGAUUUAUCGGGAAAGGAUUGGCCCGCGUUAGAUUAGAUAGUUGGUGGGGUAAUGGCCUACCAAGUCUACGAUCUAUAGCUGGUUUUAGAGGAUGAUCAGCAACACUGGGACUGAGACACGGCCCAGACUCCUACGGGAGGCAGCAGUGGGGAAUCUUAGACAAUGGGCGCAAGCCUGAUCUAGCCAUGCCGCGUGUGUGAUGAAGGUCUUAGGAUCGUAAAGCACUUUCGCCAGGGAUGAUAAUGACAGUACCUGGUAAAGAAACCCCGGCUAACUCCGUGCCAGCAGCCGCGGUAAUACGGAGGGGGUUAGCGUUGUUCGGAAUUACUGGGCGUAAAGCGUACGUAGGCGGAUUGGAAAGUUGGGGGUGAAAUC
rnacentral:rRNA from 1 species